CUCCUCUGUGGGUGGGAUGCUGGGUGUGGGAUUGGUGCUGUUGGGCUCCUUGCUUCAUGUUCCUGCUCAGUGUCUGUAGCACUAAGAAAAGCAAAACCCAUUAAUGGUGCAGUUUGUGACACAACUGAAGGCUUCUCUAAUGGGCAGCUCUCCUGCAAUCCCACUGCGCUCUGGCUUCGGAGGAAUUUGCUUGGCGUUGUGGUGCUCAGCUUCUCCCCCUCCAUUUCCCAGGCUCCAGAGACUAAUCCUUCCUUCGGCUGGUUUUGCUGCUGCUAUGGCAAUAUUUUCUCCCCCAUAGUGGUAAUCAUGCAAUGGUCUCUGAGAACAGCAGGAGAAGCGGUGCCUGUUAGAUGCAUAAAAGGGAUACAGUUUGGAAAACAUAACAGGCUGCUGGAGAUAUGAAUGCUUAUAAGCCUGACUGUCCUCUUCUUGUGUCCAAUGUUUCUGCACAGGUGUAGAUUCCCUGUGCAAAUCACUGGGGAAACGUGGCACUUGCUGACAGUGCCAUUCAGGACCCUGCCCUGGUGGCCUGGAGGAUGCUUGGAUCCCAGGAGCUGGCCUGCAGGGUUGUUCCUCACCUGGCUGCAGUCGUGUUGGAGCCCUGCAGAGCCUGUCUUCCCUGUGCUGGGGGCUCUGCCCUUAGCACAUGGGAUGGACAAUGCUGCUGACAACUCCUCCCAGGCACAAGGGACCCUGGUGAUAUAAGAAAGGUCAUUCAGGGACCUCAGCAGUGUCAUCCUCAAAUGGAAAUGUCAUUUUUUAUUAUUCAGUGCUGAUAGAGAGCUCAGAAUAAAGGCAGCUGAUGGCUGGGAGAGCUUCAGCCUUGGAUGAUGCCACCUUUGCUGCCUGUUCCUCCUGCCUCCCUGCCUGCACCAUACCCUGCUCUGGGCAUGGAAAUGCAGUCUCAGAGUGGAAGUUAUCUCACGUUGCAGACUUGUGCUGGAGCAUUGCUUCCAUCUCCAUGAAAGCAAAUGAAAGGGGUGUGAUCCAAAUUGCGUUUCCUCUCGCAGCCUGGAGUAUGACGGCACAUUAAAGCCGGUAAUAUUCC